AUCUGCCUUACAAGCAGAGGGUCGGGGGUUCGAUCCCCUCAGCCUCCA
rnacentral:tRNA from 1 species